CUCUCUUGUGCUGAAGACUUCAUCCCAUUUUUCGUUGCGCUUGGGACUCCUUUCCCUUCUCACCUAUGGUCGUGACUCCUAGAGUAGAGCAGCAGCCACCGCUCCCUCUCCAUGCUUCUCUGGGCCCUGCGUCUCUAUGUGCUACUCCUCUCCACACCACUAGAGUAGCCACCACUCCAUCUCGACUCCUCUUUAUGAACGACACGCGGGUGGCGGCUUGAUCUGAUGGAAUCCGGUGGAGGGCGGCCAUAUCUAAUGGAUGGGGCCAGAUCUGAUCGACGGCAACCAGAUCCAGUGGAAGGCGACAACAGACUUUGGAUCAGGUAGAUCUAGAGGACACUGCGAUUGGUGCAUGGAGGGCGACAAGUGGCGUGCAUGGAGGAUACCGUAGAUGGUGGCUCUAGAAGCUGGAGCUACAUCCAGAACCUCAAGUAUUUUUUAUUUUUAUUUUUUAUGUUUGCUGGUAGGUGUUGUAAUGUAUCUGCCUCCGGAAAUACU